GUGAAGCGGCAACAGCUCAAAUUUGAAAUCUGGCGCAAGCCCGAGUUGUAAUUUGUAGAGGAUGCUUCUAGGUAGCGACCGGUCUAAGUUCCUUGGAACAGGACGUCAUAGAGGGUGAGAAUCCCGUAUGUGACCGGCCCGCACUUUCUACGUAGCUCCUUCGACGAGUCGAGUUGUUUGGGAAUGCAGCUCUAAAUGGGAGGUAAAUUUCUUCUAAAGCUAAAUACCGGCCAGAGACCGAUAGCGCACAAGUAGAGUGAUCGAAAGAUGAAAAGCACUUUGGAAAGAGAGUUAAAAAGCACGUGAAAUUGUUGAAAGGGAAGCGCUUACAACCAGACUUCUGGGCGGUGUUCCGCCGGUCUUUUGACCGGUCUACUCGCCGUCCCGAGGCCAACAUCAUCUGGGACCGCUGGAUAAGACCUCAGGAAUGUAGCUCCCCUCGGGGAGUGUUAUAGCCUGUGGUGAUGCAGCGCGUCUCGGGUGAGGUCCGCGCUUCGGCAAGGAUGUUGGCGUAAUGGUUGUCAGCGGCCCGUCUUGAAACACGGACCAAGGAGUCUAACAUCUAUGCGAGUGUUCGGGUGUCAAACCCCUACGCGUAAUGAAAGUGAACGGAGGUGGGAAGGGCAACCUGCACCAUCGACCGAUCCUGAUGUCCUCGGAUGGAUUUGAGUAAGAGCAUAGCUGUUGGGACCCGAAAGAUGGUGAACUAUGCCUGAAUAGGGUGAAGCCAGAGGAAACUCUGGUGGAGGCUCGCAGCGGUUCUGACGUGCAAAUCGAUCGUCAAA
rnacentral:rRNA from 1 species